rnacentral:rRNA from 1 species
CCUACGGGAGGCUGCAGUGAGGAAUAUUGGUCCAUGGACGAGAGUCUGAACCAGCCAAGUAGCGUGAAGGAUGACUGCCCUAUGGGUUGUAAACUUCUUUUAUAUGGGAAUAAAAUGUUCCACGUGUGGGAUUUUGUAUGUACCAUAUGAAUAAGGAUCGGCUAACUCCGUGCCAGCAGCCGCGGUAAUACGGAGGAUCCGAGCGUUAUCCGGAUUUAUUGGGUUUAAAGGGAGCGUAGGUGGAUUGUUAAGUCAGUUGUGAAAGUUUGCGGCUCAACCGUAAAAUUGCAGUUGAAACUGGCAGUCUUGAGUACAGUAGUGGUGGGCGGAAUUCGUGGUGUAGCGGUGAAAUGCUUAGAUAUCACGAAGAACUCCGAUUGCGAAGGCAGUUCACUGGACUGCAACUGACACUGAGGCUCGAAAGUGUGGGUAUCAAACAGGAUUAGAUACCCCAGUAGUC